UGUUCUGUAGCUUAGUUGGUCAAAGCACCGGUUUAGCAAAUACGGAGUCGUGGGCUUCAAUCCCACCAGAACUU
rnacentral:tRNA from 1 species